rnacentral:piRNA from 1 species
UAGCAAGAAACGGGAGCAGUGUUAAU